rnacentral:rRNA from 1 species
UCGUCACACUAUCAUUAACUGAAUCCAUAGGUUAAUGAGGCGAACCGGGGGAACUGAAACAUCUAAGUACCCCGAGGAAAAGAAAUCAACCGAGAUUCCCCCAGUAGCGGCGAGCGAACGGGGAGGAGCCCAGAGCCUGAAUCAGCAUGUGUGUUAGUGGAAGCGUCUGGAAAGGCGCGCGAUACAGGGUGACAGCCCCGUACACAAAAGCGCAUGUGCUGUGAGCUCGAUGAGUAGGGCGGGACACGUGGUAUCCUGUCUGAAUAUGGGGGGACCAUCCUCCAAGGCUAAAUACUCCUGACUGACCGAUAGUGAACCAGUACCGUGAGGGAAAGGCGAAAAGAACCCCGGCGAGGGGAGUGAAAAAGAACCUGAAACCGUGUACGUACAAGCAGUGGGAGCACAGGUUUACCUGUGUGACUGCGUACCUUUUGUAUAAUGGGUCAGCGACUUAUAUUCUGUAGCAAGGUUAACCGUAUAGGGGAGCCGGAGGGAAACCGAGUCUUAAUUGGGCGUUAAGUUGCAGGGUAUAGACCCGAAACCCGGUGAUCUAGCCAUGGGCAGGUUGAAGGUUGGGUAACACUAACUGGAGGACCGAACCGACUAAUGUUGAAAAAUUAGCGGAUGACCUGUGGCUGGGGGUGAAAGGCCAAUCAAACCGGGAGAUAGCUGGUUCUCCCCGAAAGCUAUUUAGGUAGCGCCUCGUGAAUUCAUCUCCGGGGGUAGAGCACUGUUUCGGCUAGGGGGCCAUCCCGGCUUACCAACCCGAUGCAAACUGCGAAUACCGGAGAAUGUUAUCACGGGAGACACACGGCGGGUGCUAACGUCCGUCGUGAAGAGGGAAACAACCCAGACCGCCAGCUAAGGUCCCAAAGUCAUGGUUAAGUGGGAAACGAUGUGGGAAGGCCCAGACAGCCAGGAUGUUGGCUUAGAAGCAGCCAUCAUUUAAAGAAAGCGUAAUAGCUCACUGGUCGAGUCGGCCUGCGCGGAAGAUGUAACGGGGCUAAACCAUGCACCGAAGCUGCGGCAGCGA